UACGGAGGGCGCAAGCGUUGUUCGGAAUCACUGGGCGUAAAGCGUGCGCAGGCGGCUUUGCAAGACAGAUGUGAAAUCCCCGGGCUCAACCUGGGAACUGCAUUUGUGACUGCAAGGCUAGAGUACGGCAGAGGGGGAUGGAAUUCCGCGUGUAGCAGUGAAAUGCGUAGAUAUGCGGAGGAACACCGAUGGCGAAGGCAAUCCCCUGGGCCUGUACUGACGCUCAUGCACGAAAGCGUGGGGAGCAAACAGG
rnacentral:rRNA from 1 species